rnacentral:rRNA from 1 species
CGCCUCCUGCCAAUUAAAAAUAUAGGAGGUCCCGCCUGCCCUGUGACCAAAAGUUUAACGGCCGCGGUAUUUUAACCGUGCAAAGGUAGCGCAAUCAAUUGUCUUUUAAAUGGAGACCUGUAUGAAUGGCAUAACGAGGGUUUAACUGUCUCUUUUUUCUGGUCAAUGAAACUGAUCUACCCGUGCAGAAGCGGGUAUACCCACACAAGACGAGAAGACCCUAUGGAGCUUUAGACGCCCACCAACCAUGAAAAGCAACCUGAUUAACGGCCCCCAAACUACAUGACCCUGGUAUAAACGUCUUCGGUUGGGGCGACCACGGGGGAAAACAAAGCCCCCGAGAGGAUUGGGGAUUAAACCCUAAAACCAAGAGCCACAGCUCUAAGUCACAAAACAUUUGACCAAAAAUGAUCCGGCUUUUUGCCGAUCAACGGACCAAGUUACCCUAGGGAUAACAGCGCAAUCCCCUCCCAGAGUCCAUAUCGACGAGGGGGUUUACGACCUCGAUGUUGGAUCAGGACAUCCUAAUGGUGCAGCCGCUAUUAAGGGUUCGUUUGUUCAACGAUUAAAGUCCU